rnacentral:snRNA from 1 species
AAAUAAACAGUGCAAUGGAUGAGCCUCUGACCCCCGCCCCCUGGACGGCGAGGCUCAUCCAUUGCACUCCGGAUGUGCUGACCCCUGCGAUUUCCCCAAAUGUGGGAAACUCGACUGCAUAAUUUGCGGUAGUGGGGGUCUGUGUUCGUUCGCGCUCUCC